ACUAUCGUCACCACCCAUACAUGGUUACCAUUUUUUGUGUGUGGUGAAGUGACUUAAAAUAUGCUCUCUUACCAAAUUCCAAGUAAACAACACAGGGUUAUAAACUGUAGUCACUAUAUUGUGCAUUACUUCCUCAGAACUUCCUCAUUUUAUAACUGUAAGUUUGUAACUUUGGACCACAUAUCUCCAUGUAUGUCACCCUCCAGUCUCCCGAAACCACUGUUCUACUCUCUGCUUCUAUGAGUUUGACGUUUUUAGAUUACACAAAUAAGUGAGAUCACACAGUUUUUGCCCUUCUGUGCCUGGCUUAUUACACUUAGCAUAAUGUCCUCCAGCUUUGUCCAUGCUGUCACAGUUGGCAGGAUUCCUUUCUUUUUGUGCUGAAUAAUAUUCCAUUGUGUACAUACAUUACAUUUUCUUUAUCCACUUAUCCUUCCAUGGGCACAUAGGUGCUUUCCAUAUCUCGGCUAUUGUAAACAAUACUGCAGUGAACAAUGAAGUGCAGGUGUCUUUUUUACAUAGCUAGAGAUACUUCGUUUCCUUUGGAUCCACACCCAGAAGUAGGAUUGCUGGAUCAAAUGGCCUAAAAGUCUAGGUUGGACCCUGGCGGAUAUGUCCCUCAUGGGGAUGGAUCUAUCGUGGCUGCUUUCUUCCCCUCGCUGCUACCGUCCUGCCCUCCCCUAAGCCACUAGUCCAGACCUGCUGUCACAGCAGCCGUCUAACGCUGGUCUCCUUUCCUACCCUCCAUUCCAUUCUCAACACGGACACCAGCGACCACUGCUGCACGGAAGUCAGAUCACAGCAUCCCUCUGUCCAACAUUCUCCAGGGGCUUUGCAUUUCAAUCAGUUAAUUAUCUUUUUAAAAUAAGUUCGAGUUGAGAUAUUAUCCACCACCAAGUCUACCCUGAGCCAGGGGCAACCAUCUUUCCAUUUUGCUAUGAUCUCAAUGUUUGUGUCACCUGAAAAUUCACAUAUUGAAACCCUGGUGAAUGAGAUCAGUACCCUUACAGAAGAAACGCCAGAGAGCUGCCUUGCCCUUUCUGCCAUGUGAGGACACAGAAGAUCGCCAUCUAUGAAUAAGGAAAAGGACCUCACCAGACACCACAGAGUUCAUGGAGAUCUGGGAUCUCUUUCUCACCAUGGACUAGAAAGCAUUUAAGCCUGGUAACUGCAAAGGACCUUACAUGUGACAUUGAUCUCUCAUCUCCUGAAUUAUGGAAGUGAAAGAAGUCGCCAGACUGCAACUUUGGGUAAUAAAGCCAGGAAGGAAAGGUGAAGAAAAUAUUUAUUUCAGCACUUAAAACAAUAUGAGGUCUGUUCUAGGCCCUUCGGUUCCCUAAACAUCAUCUAGGUGCUCAUAAACAAAGUUACUUAUAUCCUGUUGGAUGAGACAUUUGACUAACUGAGGGGAAAAAAACCCUAAGUCAUAUUCAUUUAUACAUUUUUAUUAGGAGAAAUUUCCAGUGUGUAAAAAAGAAAAGAGUAGUGUGCUAACUGCCAGUGCACCCAGGUUAAACAACUGAUAACUCACAACCAGUCUUGGUCAAUUUAUGAUACCAAUUGUGGCACCAAUUGUGGUACUUUUAUCCCUAUCCAGCAUCAACUUUUCAUAACUUUGCAUUAUAAAAAUAUGUAAAAAUGCACAUAAGUAAUAUGCACAAUUUGAUGAAUAGUGACACACGUAUAAACCUAUAAAACCAUCACCACAAUAAAGAUAACGCAGAUUUCUUUCUUUAACUCCCCAGUGUUUUCUCCUGCUCCACUGUGUUUCCACCUUCUGUAUCCAUCCCUCCCAACUCCUUUUCUGAAACUACCAUUGCUCUGCUUUUUUGUAACUAUAGAUUAUUUUGUAUUUUAUAUAAAUGAAAAUAUAUAGUAUAUGUCCCCGUUUGUGAUCUGCCUUUCUUGGAUUUAGUAUAGUUAUAGUAUUUUGAAACACAUGCUUAAGUUUUGCAUGUAUCAGUAAUUUGUUGCUUUUUAUUGUACUAAGUUUCCUUAUCCAGUCACCUGUUAUUAGACCUUUAACUUGGUGAAAAUGUUCGACUCUGAAAAAUAGAGAUUCUGAAUGUUAAUGUACUAAUUUUCCUCUGGACAUGUAUUUUUAUUUCUCUUGGAUUUCCCCUAGGAGUGGAAUUUCUAGAUCAUACAAAUUAUUAUUUUAGUGGGUGUGUUUUUAUCCUUUUAAACAAGUCACCAAGCUCUCUUCAACAGUGGUUCUGCCAUUUUACAAUUCCACCAAGAAUGUGGAUGAGUUCGAGUUGUUCCAUAUUCUUAGCAACACUUGAUAUGUCCAAAUUUUUCAAUUCAAGCCAUUUUAGUGGGAAUGUGGUAGAAUAUAUUGAGUUUCAUUUUAUUCACUCUAUAAUGAAUAAUGUUUGAACAUAUAUUAAUAUGCCUCAUUGCCAUCCAUAUAUUUCUUUUAGUGAAAUGUUUGUUCAAAUAAGUAGU